AGUGAACGCUGGCGGUAGGCCUAACACAUGCAAGUCGAACGGCAGCACAGUAAGAGCUUGCUCUUACGGGUGGCGAGUGGCGGACGGGUGAGGAAUACAUCGGAAUCUACUUUUUCGUGGGGGAUAACGUAGGGAAACUUACGCUAAUACCGCAUACGACCUACGGGUGAAAGCAGUGGAUCUUCGGACCUUGCGCGAUUGAAUGAGCCGACGUCGGAUUAGCUAGUUGGCGGGGUAAAGGCCCACCAAGGCGACGAUCCGUAGCUGGUCUGAGAGGAUGAUCCGCCACACUGGAACUGAGACCCGGUCCAGACUCCCACGGGAGGCCGCAGUUGGGAAUUUUUGGCAAUGGGCCAAAGCCCUGCGCAGCCAUACCGCGUGGGUGAAGAAGGCCUUCGGGUUGUAAAGCCCUUUUGUUGGGAAAGAAAAGCAGCAGGUUAAUACCCCGCUGUUCUGACGGUACCCAAAGAAUAAGCACCGGCUAACUUCGUG
rnacentral:rRNA from 1 species